UACGUAGGCAGCGAGCGUUUGUUCGGAGUUACUGGGCGUAAAGGGUGUGUAGGCGGUUUGUUUUAAGUUUGGUGUGAAAUCUCCCCGGCUCAACUGGGAGGGUGCGCCGAAUACUGAGCGACUAGAGUGCGGGAGAGGAAAGUGGAAUUCCUGGUGUAGCGGUGAAAUGCGUAGAUAUCAGGAGGAACACCGGUGGUGUAGACGGCUUUUCUGGACCUAACUGACGCUGAGACACGAAAGCGUGGGUAGCAAACAGG
rnacentral:rRNA from 1 species